UGGCAACAUGGCGUUGGAUGGGGAAUUUGGUGUUGUAGUUAUUCUGUGAAUAUUUAUGUCGUGCCUUUACAGGCAAGUAUUCAUUACAUAAUAAGAAGUUCACUCAGAAGUUAAAGUUUUAGCUUCUGUGAUGUGUUAAAUAAUAUUGCAUUGUUAUUAAUAAAUAAUCAAAAGAAAUAUAACAAGAACGGAGCAUGCUGUUUUUCUGGAAGUUGCGCUACAAGUGAACAUAGCUUGACACACUGGGAGUACGAUGCUGAUAUCCCAAUCUCUUGCUGACGAGAGUUGUGAGGUUAAUCUGUCGAGGCGUAGAUCAUGUACCAGUGCAGAGGUCAUCCAUUCAGUCUCAACAGGAAUUGUUCAAUAGGCAGGAAUUUCAGAGGCCUUAAUACCAUGUGCGAACCCAACAUAUGCAUAUACUCCCUACUUAACAACAAAGAAAUUAAAUCACACCCCGGAAGCUGACGUAGUGGCAAAUCAAGACUUAACAUCAAAUGUAUGAAUAUCAUAUAUAGGAUUCAGUAAUUUGAUUGCGAGUUUGAUAAACAGAAAGAAAUUAUGCACUGCUGUCUUUCAUAUAAAAUAUAUUGACAUCCUUGCUGUUUGAAUGUCAUGUGAAUAUCCAUAUAAUAAUAUGAUACAUUGUCAUCAUUCAUUGUAUAGAUGUUAUAUGUUAAUAUACAGUGGAUCAUGCUUACAAUGUUCAUAGUCUACAACUAUGAUUAAUUUGAAAAAAGAAAUAAUAAUCUGUUUUGUAUCAAGUAAUGUAUUGGAAUCACUCAUUGUUUAGAUGCCAUAUAUAACUAUACAGUGGUUUAUGCUUACGAGUUGUGAUCCAUGUUCUAUAACUAUAAUGAUUAAUUUGAGACAAAAGAAUAAUCUGUUGUUUUGGAUCAAAUAAUGUAUUGACGUCACUCAUAAAGGUGAGACGGUAUUUCAGUAAUCAGUACUUUGUAACAGUUAUUUUUCUCCUGUAUCUGUAACGGUUACUGAGAACCAAAAAUACUGAUUUCAGAUACUUUGUAUCUAGUACUCUGUAAGGUUACAAAAUAACAAAUAUUUUCUUGUACUGAUUACUUUACUAGUCCUGAAGUACUCAUAUCCUUACUGAUACAGAAUAAUGAAAUACUUAAGGCUGACCAAUACAAUAUAAAUACUGCAAUCGUAAAGCCACAACUGGAAAAUAUUGCUAGUUCACAAUGUAAAUCACUCACCAACCCCAGUGUCAGUUUGAUAUUCUUGAAUAAGUUAUUGAAUAAUAUUAUAUAUUGCUUUAAAAAAAACUUGUAUUAACACCCUAGUUUAAAGUGUUUAAUUAUGUAAACUACGAUAGAUAUUUGAUGUUUUUUACUUAAAAUGAGAGCUUAUUUAAUUUUUUUCAUAAUAAAAAAACUCGUUAAUGUACCAAAAAUGCACCAAAGAGAAUUAAAAUUACUUAUAAAAUAAAAUUUUAUUGUCAUAACCAGAACAUCCAAUGUAACAGCCUAUUGGACUCUACUCAAAGAAGCAGAGGUUCAAUUUAUCAUUCAAUUCAUUAAUUACAUCUCAAAAAGUAUAAACAUUAUAAUAUAAUAAAUUACCUAUAUUUAUACGUUUUAUACAUAUUGGCAUUGUACUUUUGAAUACUAUUAAUUACAUCAAAGCAUUUACAAAACUGUGUUUAUUAGGGAAAAUACUCAGUAUUUUAAGCGUUACAAUUACAGAAAUACUGAUUUAAAGUCUAGUAUUUAAACCGUUACAAAUAUGAAACACUGAUUUAGAGUAUCUAGUAAUUAAAACAUUACCAGUACGGAAAUACUGAUUUCUAGUAUCCAGUUUUUGUACUCGGUAUUGUCGAGUAACAGUACCAGAACUAACGGUUACAUGUACGUACUGAUUUACCCCAUCUCUACACUCAUAGUUUAGAUGUCAUUUGUGGGUAUACAGUACUUUAUGCUUACCAGUUGAGAUCUAUAGUUUACAUCUAUGAUUAAUCUAAAACAAAGGAAUAAUAUCUGCUGUUUAUCAUAUGAUAAUAUUGACAUCAUUCAAUGUUUAGAUGUAACAUGUGAGUAUACAGCGGUACAUACUUACAAGUUGAUGUCAAUGGUUAACAAAUAUGACUAAUUUACAAGAAAGGAAUAGUCUGUUUGUAUCAUAUGAUAUAUUAAUAUUACUCAUUGUUUAGAUGUCCUAUGUAAAUAUAUAGUAGUGUAUGCUUAAAAGUAGAGCUCCAUGUUCCACACACGAUUAAUUCAAAAGAAACAAAUAGUAUUCUGUUGUAUAUCUUGUAAAAUAUUUAUAUCACUUAUUGUUUAGAUAUCACAUGUGAGUAUACAAUAGAGUAUGCUUACAAGUUGAUAUCUUUAGUUUACAUCUAUGAUUAAUUUAAAACAAAGAAAUAAAAUUCUGUUGUGUAUCAUAUGAUAUAUUGAUCUUACUCAUUGUUGUUAUCAUAUUUAUGUAUAUGGUUGUAUAUGCUUAUAAGUAGAGAUGUAUGUUCUAAAGAUAAAAAUAAGAUAAAUUUAAAUAAAAAAGUAAAUAUAUGGCA